rnacentral:lncRNA from 1 species
UUGGUACCUCAGCACCCUAGAACAGUGCAGCCUCCACCAACAGGCAUUGGACAUACAGUUACAGUUGGAGAGGCUAACCAAGAAGCUGUUGCUGACGUGUGGGCAUUAACUUUGAUGCAAGGAUAUGUGCUCCCCGUGACCAGUACUCCUCAUCAUGGCAGCGUUGUAACCACGUCCAACCGUAUGUGCUUGCAUCCAUCUUACCAACACACUUGUUUAGUUGCACUCUGAGCAAAUCUGAAGCAAAGCCAUUUCAAGGGUGCAUCACUGCUGGUUCUGAUGACACCUCAUCUGGGCAGCUAGCAGCAUGUUCUGGCAUCCCUGGAACAAGGCAACCAGCAGUGUCUGCACUCCUCACUCUAC